rnacentral:tRNA from 1 species
CUCCCAAUAGCUCAGCUGGUUAGAGCGUGGUGCUGAAAACGCCAAGGUUGCAGGUUCGAUCCCUGUAUGGGACA